rnacentral:lncRNA from 1 species
GGGAUAUAGGCAUUAAGGUUACGGAAGAAGAUGUCCAUAUUUUUUAGAGAUGCAUCCUAGCAUAUGUAAGGGGUCUGCAAUUUGUUUAAAAACAAUUCAGCCAGAGGGAAAGAGAGCCAAGCAAUUAGGAAUAACUGAAACAUACGUGGCAAAUUCUUGAUAACAUUUGAACCUGGAUGGUGGGUAUGUUGGGGUGCAUUGUACUUUAUACUCUAUGUUUGAAAUAUUUUAUGUUAAAAAUGAUUAAAGGGGCCGGGCGCGGUGGCUCACACCUGUACUCCCAGCACUUUGGGAGGCCGAGGCGGGUGGAUCACGAGGUCGGGAGUUCGAGACCAGCCUGGCCAAGAUGGUGAAACCC